rnacentral:rRNA from 1 species
UACGUAGGCAGCAAGCGUUGUUCGGAAUUACUGGGCGUAAAGAGUGUGUAGGCGGUGCUCCAAGUCUGGUGUGAAAUCUCCCGGCUUAACUGAGAGGGUGCAUUAGAAACUGGAAUGCUAGAGGAUGGGAGAGGUAAGCGGAAUUCCUGGUGUAGCGGUGAAAUGCGUAGAUAUCAGGAGGAACACCUGUGGUGUAGACAGCUUACUGGACCAUUUCUGACGCUGAGACACGAAAGCGUGGGUAGCAAACAGG